rnacentral:rRNA from 1 species
UUGGAAAGACCCACCACAGAAGGUAAUAGUCCUGUAUGUUAAACGAGAAGACUUUAGAUAUGAUCCAGAGUACCACGGGACACGUGAAACCCUGUGGGAAGCAGGAGGGACCACCCUCCAAGGCUAAAUACUACCUAGUGACCGAUAGCGUAUAGUACCGUGAGGGAAAGGUGAAAAGAACCCCGGGAGGGGAGUGAAAUAGAACCUGAAACCCUGCACUUACAAGCUGUGGAAGCACAUUUCUUGUGUGACCGCGUACUUUUUGUAGAACGGGCCAACGAGUUACGUUAAGUAGCAAGGUUAAGCACUUAAGGUGCGGAGCCGUAGCGAAAGCGAGUUUUAACUGAGCGUUCAGUUACUUGACGUAGACCCGAAACCGGGCGACCUACCCAUGAGCAGGAUGAAGCGAAAGUAAAAUUUCGUGGAGGUCCGAACCCACGAGCGUUGAAAAGCUCGGGGAUGACUUGUGGGUAGCGGUGAAAUUCCAAUCGAGCCCGGAGAUAGCUGGUUCUCCCCGAAAUAGCUUUAGGGCUAGCCUCAAGGUGAGAGAUACGGAGGUAGAGCACUGAAUGUCCUAGGGGGUAUUGCACCUACCGAAGACUAUCAAACUCCGAAUGCCGUCAUCUUAUACUUGGGAGUCAGACUGUGGGUGAUAAGAUUCAUAGUCGAAAGGGCAACAGCCCAGAUCGUCAGCUAAGGUCCCUAAAUGUAAGUUAAGUGGUAAAGGAUGUGGGAUUGCACAGACAACCAGGAUGUUGGCUUAGAAGCAGCCACUCAUUCAAAGAGUGCGUAAUAGCUCACUGGUCGAGUGAUCCUGCGCCGAAGAUUUCCGGGGCUAAAACUUACUACCGAAGCUACGGCAUCAGUAAUGA